AGUCGAGCGGAACGAGUUAUCUGAACCUUCGGGGAACGAUAACGGCGUCGAGCGGCGGACGGGUGAGUAAUGCCUAGGAAAUUGCCCUGAUGUGGGGGAUAACCAUUGGAAACGAUGGCUAAUACCGCAUGAUGCCUACGGGCCAAAGAGGGGGACCUUCGGGCCUCUCGCGUCAGGAUAUGCCUAGGUGGGAUUAGCUAGUUGGUGAGGUAAGGGCUCACCAAGGCGACGAUCCCUAGCUGGUCUGAGAGGAUGAUCAGCCACACUGGAACUGAGACACGGUCCAGACUCCUACGGGAGGCAGCAGUGGGGAAUAUUGCACAAUGGGCGCAAGCCUGAUGCAGCCAUGCCGCGUGUGUGAAGAAGGCCUUCGGGUUGUAAAGCACUUUCAGUCGUGAGGAAGGUGGUGUAGUUAAUAGCUGCAUCAUUUGACGUUAGCGACAGAAGAAGCACCGGCUAACUCCGUGCCAGCAGC
rnacentral:rRNA from 1 species